GUGAGUCAUCGAAUCUUUGAACGCACCUUGCACCCUUUGGUAUUCCGAAGGGUAUGCUCGUUUGAGUGUCAUUGUACUCUCACACUCUCUGAUCCAUUGGAUUUCAGGAGCGGUGGACUUGGGUGUUGCUGCUUUCCUAAGUGGCUCACCUCAAAUGCAUUAGUGCACCUCUUGGUUGGACAUAGUACGGCGUGAUAAGUGUCUUCGCCGGCACCUCGAAAGAGGGUGGCUGAUUGGGAGCUCUGUGCUUUCAAACUGUCUUCGGACAAUCUCUGACAACUUGACCUCAAAUCGAGUAGGACUACCCGCUGAACUUAAGCAUAUCAAUAAGCGGAGGA
rnacentral:misc_RNA from 1 species